GGGUAUAGUUCAUGUGGUAGAAUACUUGUUUUCCAAGUGUGAGAACCUGGGUUCAAACCCCAGUACUAUCA
rnacentral:tRNA from 1 species